ACGCCUUAUACAUGCAAGUCGAACGAAGUAGCAAUACUUAGUGGCAGACGGGUGAGUAACAUGUGGGUAUCUUCCCUUUGGUGAGGAAUAACACGAGGAAACUUGUGCUAAUACCUCAUAAGUCUUUACGGAGAAAGCUUUAUGCGCCAAUGGAUGAGCCUGCACUUGAUUAGUUUGUUGGUGGGGUAAUGGCCUACCAAGACUUUGAUCAAUAGCUGAUCUGAGAGGAUGAUCAGCCACAUUGGGACUGAGACACGGCCCAAACUCCUACGGGAGGCAGCAGUAGGGAAUAUUGCACAAUGGAGGAAACUCUGAUGCAGCGAUGCCGCGUGAGUGAAGAAGGCCUUUGGGUUGUAAAGCUCUUUCGUCGGGGAAGAAAAUGACUGUACCCGAAUAAG
rnacentral:rRNA from 1 species